rnacentral:rRNA from 1 species
UGAGGAAUAUUGGUCAAUGGGCGAAAGCCUGAACCAGCCAAGUAGCGUGCAGGAUGACGGCCCUAUGGGUUGUAAACUGCUUUUAUACAGGAAUAAAGUUAGCCACGUGUGGUUAUUUGUAGGUACUGUAUGAAUAAGGACCGGCUAAUUCCGUGCCAGCAGCCGCGGUAAUACGGCAGGUCCAGGCGUUAUCCGGAUUUAUUGGGUUUAAAGGGAGCGUAGGCCGUCUGUUAAGCGUGGUGUGAAAUGUAGAUGCUCAACAUCUGAAUUGCAGCGCGAACUGGCAGACUUGAGUGUGCGCAACGUAGGCGGAAUUCGUUGUGUAGCGGUGAAAUGCUUAGAUAUCACGAAGAACUCCGAUUGCGAAGGCAGCUUACGGGAGCACAACUGACGCUGAAGCUCGAAAGUGCGGGUAUCGAACA